GUAGGUGAACNUGCGGAAGGAUCAUUA
rnacentral:rRNA from 3 species